AAAAGUCCGGGGCGUUAUCCGGAUUUAUUGGGUUUAAGGGUGCGUAGGCGGCCUUUUAAGUCAGCGGUGAAAGUCUGUGGCUCAACCAUAGAAUUGCCGUUGAAACUGGGAGGCUUGAGUAUGUUUGAGGCAGGCGGAAUGCGUGGUGUAGCGGUGAAAUGCUUAGAUAUCACGCAGAACCCCGAUUGCGAAGGCAGCCUGCCAAGCCAUGACUGACGCUGAUGCACAAAAGCGUGGGGAUCAAACAGGAUUAGAUACCCUGGUAGUCCACGCAGUAAACGAUGAUCACUAGCUGUUUGCGAUACAGUGUAAGCGGCACAGCGAAAGCGUUAAGUGAUCCACCUGGGGAGUACGCCGGCAACGGUGAAACUCAAAGGAAUUGACGGGGGCCCGCACAAGCGGAGGAACAUGUGGUUUAAUUCGAUGAUACGCGAGGAACCUUACCCGGGUUUGAACGCAUUCGGACCGAGGUGGAAGCACCUUUUCUAGCAAUAGCCGUUUGCGAGGUGCUGCAUGGUUGUCGUCAGCUCGUGCCGUGAGGUGUCGGCUUAAGUGCCAUAACGAGCGCAACCCUUGUUGUCAGUUACUAACAGGUUCCGCUGAGGACUCUGACAAGACUGCCAUCGUAAGAUGUGAGGAAGGUGGGGAUGACGUCAAAUCAGCACGGCCCUUACGUCCGGGGCUACACACGUGUUACAAUGGGGGGUACAGAGGGCCGCUACCACGCGAGUGGAUGCCAAUCCCAAAAACCUCUCUCAGUUCGGACUGGAGUCUGCAACCCGACUCCACGAAGCUGGAUUCGCUAGUAAUCGCGCAUCAGCCACGGCGCGGUGAAUACGUUCCCGGGCCUUGCACACACCGCCCGU
rnacentral:rRNA from 1 species